CUACCUUGAGAUACUAAGAGACCCUAAAUCUAAUCCUUAUCUGAGGAAAGGUUUAUGGGUGAAGGAGAGUAUGCUUUAGAAAAUGAGGCUUUGCCUCUCUUGCUCUAGAUCCUACUAGGGUCCGGUGGCAUGAAUAGGAAAGCCAAGAUCUAACCUAGUAUAUGUCCUAAAGGGUAGUCUAGGGAUAGGCUAGGAUGGCUGGGAGGUUUGAGAAGGU
rnacentral:lncRNA from 1 species